GGCGAUCAGAUACCGCCCUAGUUCUGACCGUAAACGAUGCCAACUAGCGAUCCGCCAGUCGACUCAUCGCUCUGGUGGGGAGCUUCCCGGAAACGAAAGUCUUCCGGUUCCGGGGGAAGUAUGGUUGCAAAGCUGAAACUUAAAGGAAUUGACGGAAGGGCACUACCAGGAGUGGAGCCUGCGGCUUAAUUUGACUCAACACGGGGAAACUCACCCGGCCCGGACACCGUAAGGAUUGACAGAUUGAUAGCUUUUUCAUGAUUCGGUGGAUGGUGGUGCAUGGCCGUUCUUAGUUCGUGGAGCGAUUUGUCUGGUUUAUUCCGAUAACGAGCGAGACUCUGGCCUACUAAAUAGUUGACGCAUUGCCACUGUGCGCACAACUUCUUAGAGGGAUUUUCGGUGUUUUCAACCGCACGAAAUUGAGCAAUAACAGGUCUGUGAUGCCCUUAGAUGUCCGGGGCUGCACGCGCGCUACACUGGCAAACGCAACGUGCCUGUCCUGCCCCGAAAGGAGCGGGUAAACCCCUGAAAUUUUGCCGUGAUUGGGAUCGGACAUUGCAACUAUUGUCCGUGAACGAGGAAUUCCUUGUAGGGGCGAGUCAUCAACUCGUCCCGAAUACGUCCCUGCCCUUGUA
rnacentral:rRNA from 1 species